rnacentral:rRNA from 1 species
CUACCCGCUGAACUUAAAGCAUAUCAAUAAGCGGAGGA